ACGCCGCGUGAGUGAUGAAGGUUUUCGGAUCGUAAAGCUCUGUUGUUAGGGAAGAACAAGUACCGUUCGAAUAGGGCGGUGCCUUGACGGUACCUAACCAGAAAGCCACGGCUAACUACGUGCCAGCAGCCGCGGUAAUACGUAGGUGGCAAGCGUUGUCCGGAAUUAUUGGGCGUAAAGGGCUCGCAGGCGGUUUCUUAAGUCUGAUGUGAAAGCCCCCGGCUCAACCGGGGAGGGUCAUUGGAAACUGGGGAACUUGAGUGCAGAAGAGGAGAGUGGAAUUCCACGUGUAGCGGUGAAAUGCGUAGAGAUGUGGAGGAACACCAGUGGCGAAGGCGACUCUCUGGUCUGUAACUGACGCUGAGGAGCGAAAGCGUGGGGAGCGAACAGGAUUAGAUACCCUGGUAGUCCACGCCGUAAACGAUGAGUGCUAAGUGUUAGGGGGUUUCCGCCCCUUAGUGCUGCAGCUAACGCAUUAAGCACUCCGC
rnacentral:rRNA from 1 species